UGGAAUUUUGUUCACGAGUCCAUCGCAU
rnacentral:sRNA from 1 species